rnacentral:rRNA from 1 species
UACGUAGGGGGCAAGCGUUGUCCGGAUUUAUUGGGCGUAAAGAGCGUGUAGGCGGCCAGAUAGGUCUGUUGUGAAAACUCGAGGCUCAACCUCGAGACGCCGACGGAAACCACCUGGCUAGAGUCCGGAAGAGGAGAGUGGAAUUCCUGGUGUAGCGGUGAAAUGCGCAGAUAUCAGGAAGAACACCCGUGGCUAAGGCGGCUCUCUAGUACGGUACUGACGCUGAGACGCGAAAGCGUGGGGAGCGAACAGG